rnacentral:miRNA from 10 species
CCAUGUCACAUAUUCGUCACAGU